rfam:Fistulifera solaris DNA, contig: scaffold00101, strain: JPCC DA0580.
GUCCGGGUUUUACCCGGACAUCAAACAAACGCUUAAAUAUACAGAGAAGAUUAGCAUGGUCUCUGAACUAAGAAUGACACGCAAAUCGAAGAGAAGCGAACCUUUUUU